rnacentral:sRNA from 1 species
GCUGGGUGCAGUGGCGCAUGCCUGUAAUCACAGCAGCUCAGGAGGCUGAGGCAGGAGGAUCGUGAGUUCAAGGCCAGCCCCAGCAACUUAGCAAGGCCCUAAGCAAUUCAACCAGACCCUGUCUCUA